rnacentral:lncRNA from 1 species
CUUGGCCCGUUGAUUUGCUAGGAGAAGCUUGCUGCAGAUGGUUUUCCUGAUGCUGUUGCGGUCGGAGGAGGAGCUCGGGGCCUCACUAUCUCUGGGAAUGGCUGCUGUUUCAUCAGGGGAGCUCCAACCUUUACCAUGAGCAUCACUUCCUGCCUCCAAUGUGGAUCCCUCACGUUGAUGGCGCAAAUUCUUCAUCUGACUGGAGUAGGUUUUCUGGCUUCCACAACUGGCCUUUGGGCUUCCAGGUGCAGAACUUCAAUAUGAACAAGAAUGAGACAUUGCCGUGGGCUCUAGACCACUGGCUGGACUUGAGCAGGAGAUUGCCUUGGACUCUAAGUCUUUAGCUGGAUUUGUGUGGGAAAUUGCUGGGAUCCAGGCCCUCAGCUGAAUCCUCUGGGCUUCUAGUGUGCAGUUACUCACUUUGCACUCCUUUGCAUUUGACUCUUUGGCACAGGAAACUGUUGGCCUGAAUGAAGGUGGGAGCCUCUUCAUCUCUCCUCACUGCAUCUCCAGACUACUCUAUCCGGUCUUCACCCAUAAGAAAGUGCACAGCCACAGGUCUGGACUUUGAGAUCUGGCACCAUGCUAUUUCUGGCUCUUCUGCAAACCCAAAAUGACCAGGAAAGGUAAGUGUUUUGAAUCCAUUCAGGACAUCAGGGCAGCCGUAAGAGUGCAACUAAAUACACCAAAAAGGACUUCCAGAAAUGCUUCAGAAAAUGGCACAAUAAGAUGUUCGAAGUUCAUAUUAACACCUCCUCCAUGCCAGCCAUAGAACCGGCCAUUUUUCUAUGGAGCCCUAUCUUCUUUGGAAGAUUCCAUGCUAUAAGCCUACCCAAAAUGACAACGCCUGGCACCUAUGGAGGGCCUUUAGAUAGACCCUCUGUAGAGUAACUGACUGCUGAUCACAACUACAACUGAUCACAACUUCAGCCAGAAGUAGCCAGAAUGGUCUUUGCUCUUUGCCCCCUCACACCAGUUAGAGGUUCUUCAGAGGGGGGGAAUAUUGCAGAUAGGUAAGUUUAUUAGAUAUCUUGUAGGCAGAUAGACAGAGCCAGCCCAGGAGGAGCCAACAUGGCAGACAAUCAAGACACAUUCACUGAAGGCCAGCAUUGUAAGAGAAGAGAAACUACUACACCCAGGUGCUUCCCCUAAGGAUAAAUAGGUAUCAGCCACAUGGGUGGGAGACAAAGAUCUUCCAGGAAAGAUCCUUGACCCACCCUUUUCCACUAAAAAUCCUUGCUCAUUCUUUGUAUGCUUGCUAUGUGACUUGUUUCCCCAUUGGAUCCCUAUUUAAUCAGUAUUACCUAAGCAACUAUACUUGUCAUAAUCUUAUUGGUUUUCAUAGUUUUGUCCACCUUGUGAUUUCUCUCAUUGGAUCAAUAUUACCUGGGUGACUGUACUUAUAAUCUUAUUGGUUGGCCAUGGUUUUGUCCCACCUCAUGCCUGCCUUGUAAAUUUCCAUUGGGCCUUAUAGUUUUGUCCCACUUUAUACCCACCUCACCACAUGACAUGGCUGUAUAAAACAUCUUUGAAAAGUGGGGUGGGCAGGCAAUCCACUUUCCAGUCCCCCUUCUGACUCUCUUAGAAGC